UGUGGCUUAAUUCGACGCAACGCGAAGAACCUUACCAAGGCUUGACAUACACCGGAAACGUCUGGAGACAGGCGCCCCCUUGUGGUCGGUGUACAGGUGGUGCAUGGCUGUCGUCAGCUCGUGUCGUGAGAUGUUGGGUUAAGUCCCGCAACGAGCGCAACCCUUGUCCCGUGUUGCCAGCAGGCCCUUGUGGUGCUGGGGACUCACGGGAGACCGCCGGGGUCAACUCGGAGGAAGGUGGGGACGACGUCAAGUCAUCAUGCCCCUUAUGUCUUGGGCUGCACACGUGCUACAAUGGCCGGUACAAUGAGCUGCGAUACCGCGAGGUGGAGCGAAUCUCAAAAAGCCGGUCUCAGUUCGGAUUGGGGUCUGCAACUCGACCCCA
rnacentral:rRNA from 1 species